rnacentral:lncRNA from 1 species
AAUGAUUCUAUAACUCCAUAGCCAUUUUUACUUGAUAGAAAUAGAAGAUAAGGGUUUUUUUAAAUAUUUAUUUAUUAUAUAUAAAGUUCAAGAUAGAGUGAUUAGCCAUCAUAUAUAGUUGGUAAAAAGUAUCUCUGCUUAAGCUACAUUGUCAAUUUUGGUACCACUAACUGAACAGUGGUGUUGACUUGAUAGAGUUGUGAGCUUUCUGGUGGGUUUGCUGUAUCCAUAUGUUUGGUCAAGUCAUUAGGGUCACCAUAGUCAGCUUUGCAACAAGUGUAGUAGGCAUACAUAUCAUAUUUGAGAUCAUUAAGUCAUUUGUCUUGAGGUUAAGUAAUAUAACUGUUCAAUGUUUUUAACAGGUUGGGAAAAAAAACCCUGUAUGGUGAUUUUACCUGUAAAGAGGGAUAAUCCUUCUUUAGAGGGUAAAAAUUAUCCCUCUAUAGAGGGGUAUUUUUGUUUGUAUACAGGUAUAAUCACCAUAUAGGGGGUUUGUUCCCAACCUGUUUAACAGUACACAAAAAAGUCGUUGUUUAUACAACUUUAAUUAAUCCAUUGUCAGUAUUUCACUUUUAAUCAUCCAGACAUGUGUCCUAAACUUGCUAGUUGAUCACCAAUUGCCAAUACUCUUUUAUUGCUGUUUAUACAGUCUAAUCCUUAACAGCUUCAUAGAUAACUCAAGGCUAUUUACCUUUUGACAUCAAAACAGUUAAAGGACACUUCCGUUUUUCUCGGACUUUUCCGAUAUGAAUUUUGAUGUUCACG